AUGCCUCAUGGAACUCAAAUAUGUAGUAGUGGUGUGCAAUCAAAUGAUCAAGAACGUGAAACACCACAAUCUUGCACUCAAGACUAUGCACACAUUGAGGGUGAAAAACUUGAGAUAGAGAGAAAAAAGGUUGAUGCAAAGAUUAAGAAGGCUGAGAUUGCCGAGGAAAGAUUAAAGAUGAAUGAUCUACAAAUACUCUCAAAAGAUACAUCAAAUAUGGAUGCAAGACAACUACAAGCUCAUGAAAUAUUGUGCGACACGAUUAGAGAAAAAUAUGGAAUUAAUUAG